UUUCCCGUGAGCAGCAGGAGCUGCUUUGUCUCGGGGAAUUGAGCUGCUUAAAUGUGAAAUAAAGUAAUAAUUUGGUCGAAAACAGAUGCGGAAGUCAAACUGUUAAAAAUAACAGCGACAUGAGAGUCAUGUAGAAGCUACCAAAAUCGCCAGAAGUGCCGGUUUCGUUCGUGGAUGAUUAUGCUUCACACGUCUUGGUCAGGUCUUUCUGUCGAGUGGAGAAGAUCCGUGAAGAGCUUCCAUUGAUUCCAGUAGAUGGCAAGCCUCCCAGCUUGAUCCUCAGAAUCUGCAUAGCCACUUAAACAGCGGAUCAUCUAUCUGAGUGAAAGUAGCAGUUCCUCCUUAAGGUCAGAGAUUGCAGCAUCUGAGGGCCUCUUCAAAAGAAGAUGUAGUUGAUGAAGGCGUUCUGGAGCAGGACCAGAAAGACCACGACCAAGCAGCCUUGAGAUCUUAGGCAGCGUCUCCCUCAGGUCCCUCUCUGUCUCCCCACACAUCCACCAACCACUGGAACACAUCUCCAAAGUUCUGCUGGACCAGCUCAGCUUCCCCUCAGAAGAAGUGCUGCCACCUGCCAGAUGAAGGAGCCUUUUGAGAGGCAGCUGGCAUCGUGAUUGGACUGUAUUUUGGUCUGUUCCAAUCCAGCUUCAGCUCCAGAGACGGCAGGCGGGACGAGUCAACGGAGGCCUGGUGGACGAAGGCAUGCAGCUGAGUACAAUCCAGAAAACAACAGAGGAGGAGUGCAGCGACCCAGGGCCAGAACAAACAGAGUAGUAUCAUAUCCUAUGUCUCUUAGAAAACAUCAUAGUAUAGCCUUUGCUAUGAAAAAACGCCAUCAUAUACAUCGUAUAUUGUACAAAUAACAAGUCAAAGGAAAGAGACAGACAUUGUAGAAUUGUAGUAAUUGUGGGCUGACUGAUUUACUGAUUAUCAGUAUUUUACUUUUUACUGAUUUAUGGUAAUAAAUACAUUUAAAAAUGGUGCUACUUUGGCUCUGAACCUUUAUCUACCUGUGGUCGCUCUGUCUUCUGGAGUGAUUUGAUUGGUUAUACGUCACGAAUAAAACUCCUUUAACUUAACAUCUGUAAACAAAACAAAAACGUAUCAACAAAGUUUUCUGUUAGAGUUUGUGUUCUUCUAAGAUUAACUCCAAGAUUUUAAAUACUUUCAUUUACUGCAAACGAAUAUCUACUCCAAAUGUCUCACUAAUAAUCAUUAUCAGCCUUAAAAACCCACAAAACACCCCUCUAUACUCGAAGACACUUAGUACAGUCCGGUUCCCCCUUCUAUAAAUCUGCUUGGAAUCAUCCACUUCCUGUUUGUCAAAGUGGCCUUCUACCUGGACAGGUUUUGUUGGAGCUCAUGCAAGAAACAUUUUGGGUAACUGCACUUUAAUAUGGAUGGAUGACACUGAAUUAGAGUCUGUUUUAAUGAGACUGAGUUAAGAUGUGUAGCUGUCAUUAAAUAGUAAAUUAUUUCUCAGAAUUCACAGAGAAAAGUCUGAAAUGUUUGCUAGGUUAGCGUCCCACAUGUUCUUUGGCUCAGCUAAAGCUAACUCUCUCCAACUUCUGGAUCUCUUGAGUUACUUCUUGUUAAAAUAUCUUGCUAUAGGUGCUGAAGCUCAGAAAGUCUGAGAUGUUUGUUCAAAAUAAGCUCAUUCUCAAGUCUGAUCUGAACUGUCCUCUUUUGUUUGAACUUUCCCUAAACUUAGGAGUUAAUGACAGAGCAGCACAUCCAGACUCAGUCUCAUUUAUGUAGAGAUUAAACUUCAGUGUCAUUCAUUGAUGUUAAAGUGCAGUUUUUCAAAUGUUUGUUGCACAUGCUCAUGACCAAAGCAGUCCAGGUGGAAGACGAUGUGAAGCGAAAGCUCCAGAGGAUGAAUAUCACACAUUUACAUUGGAAAUAAAUGUCCUUUAAUUAGACAUUGUCAUGCAAAAGUUGGA